rnacentral:rRNA from 1 species
GAUUAAGUUAUUAAGGGCGCACGGUGGAUGCCUUGGCACUAGAAGCCGAUGAAGGACGUUACUAACGACGAUAUGCUUUGGGGAGCUGUAAGUAAGCUUUGAUCCAGAGAUUUCCGAAUGGGGAAACCCAGCAUGAGUUAUGUCAUGUUAUCGAUAUGUGAAUACAUAGCAUAUCAGAAGGCACACCCGGAGAACUGAAACAUCUUAGUACCCGGAGGAAGAGAAAGAAAAUUCGAUUCCCUUAGUAGCGGCGAGCGAAACGGGAAGAGCCCAAACCAACAAGCUUGCUUGUUGGGGUUGUAGGACACUCUAUACGGAGUUACAAAGGACGACAUUAGACGAAUCAUCUGGAAAGAUGAAUCAAAGAAGGUGAUAAUCCUGUAGUCGAAAAUGUUGUCUCUCUUGAGUGGAUCCUGAGUACGACGGAGCACGUGAAAUUCCGUCGGAAUCUGGGAGGACCAUCUCCUAAGGCUAAAUACUCUCUAGUGACCGAUAGUGAACCAGUACCGUGAGGGAAAGGUGAAAAGCACCCCGGAAGGGGAGUGAAAUAGAACCUGAAACCGUGUGCUUACAAGUAGUCAGAGCCCGUUAAUGGGUGAUGGCGUGCCUUUUGUAGAAUGAACCGGCGAGUUACGAUUUGAUGCAAGGUUAAGCAGUAAAUGUGGAGCCGUAGCGAAAGCGAGUCUGAAUAGGGCGUUUAGUAUUUGGUCGUAGACCCGAAACCAGGUGAUCUACCCUUGGUCAGGUUGAAGUUCAGGUAACACUGAAUGGAGGACCGAACCGACUUACGUUGAAAAGUGAGCGGAUGAACUGAGGGUAGCGGAGAAAUUCCAAUCGAACCUGGAGAUAGCUGGUUCUCUCCGAAAUAGCUUUAGGGCUAGCCUCAAGUGAUGAUUAUUGGAGGUAGAGCACUGUUUGGACGAGGGGCCCCUCUCGGGUUACCGAAUUCAGACAAACUCCGAAUGCCAAUUAAUUUAACUUGGGAGUCAGAACAUGGGUGAUAAGGUCCGUGUUCGAAAGGGAAACAGCCCAGACCACCAGCUAAGGUCCCAAAAUAUAUGUUAAGUGGAAAAGGAUGUGGCGUUGCCCAGACAACUAGGAUGUUGGCUUAGAAGCAGCCAUCAUUUAAAGAGUGCGUAAUAGCUCACUAGUCGAGUGACACUGCGCCGAAAAUGUACCGGGGCUAAACAUAUUACCGAAGCUGUGGAUUGUCCUUUGGACAAUGGUAGGAGAGCGUUCUAAGGGCGUUGAAGCAUGAUCGUAAGGACAUGUGGAGCGCUUAGAAGUGAGAAUGCCGGUGUGAGUAGCGAAAGACGGGUGAGAAUCCCGUCCACCGAUUGACUAAGGUUUCCAGAGGAAGGCUCGUCCGCUCUGGGUUAGUCGGGUCCUAAGCUGAGGCCGACAGGCGUAGGCGAUGGAUAACAGGUUGAUAUUCCUGUACCACCUAUAAUCGUUUUAAUCGAUGGGGGGACGCAGUAGGAUAGGCGAAGCGUGCGAUUGGAUUGCACGUCUAAGCAGUAAGGCUGAGUAUUAGGCAAAUCCGGUACUCGUUAAGGCUGAGCUGUGAUGGGGAGAAGACAUUGUGUCUUCGAGUCGUUGAUUUCACACUGCCGAGAAAAGCCUCUAGAUAGAAAAUAGGUGCCCGUACCGCAAACCGACACAGGUAGUCAAGAUGAGAAUUCUAAGGUGAGCGAGCGAACUCUCGUUAAGGAACUCGGCAAAAUGACCCCGUAACUUCGGGAGAAGGGGUGCUCUUUAGGGUUAACGCCCAGAAGAGCCGCAGUGAAUAGGCCCAAGCGACUGUUUAUCAAAAACACAGGUCUCUGCUAAACCGUAAGGUGAUGUAUAGGGGCUGACGCCUGCCCGGUGCUGGAAGGUUAAGAGGAGUGGUUAGCUUCUGCGAAGCUACGAAUCGAAGCCCCAGUAAACGGCGGCCGUAACUAUAACGGUCCUAAGGUAGCGAAAUUCCUUGUCGGGUAAGUUCCGACCCGCACGAAAGGCGUAACGAUUUGGGCACUGUCUCAACGAGAGACUCGGUGAAAUCAUAGUACCUGUGAAGAUGCAGGUUACCCGCGACAGGACGGAAAGACCCCGUGGAGCUUUACUGUAGCCUGAUAUUGAAAUUCGGCACAGCUUGUACAGGAUAGGUAGGAGCCUUUGAAACGUGAGCGCUAGCUUACGUGGAGGCGCUGGUGGGAUACUACCCUAGCUGUGUUGGCUUUCUAACCCGCACCACUUAUCGUGGUGGGAGACAGUGUCAGGCGGGCAGUUUGACUGGGGCGGUCGCCUCCUAAAAGGUAACGGAGGCGCUCAAAGGUUCCCUCAGAAUGGUUGGAAAUCAUUCAUAGAGUGUAAAGGCAUAAGGGAGCUUGACUGCGAGACCUACAAGUCGAGCAGGGUCGAAAGACGGACUUAGUGAUCCGGUGGUUCCGCAUGGAAGGGCCAUCGCUCAACGGAUAAAAGCUACCCCGGGGAUAACAGGCUUAUCUCCCCCAAGAGUUCACAUCGACGGGGAGGUUUGGCACCUCGAUGUCGGCUCAUCGCAUCCUGGGGCUGUAGUCAGUCCCAAGGGUUGGGCUGUUCGCCCAUUAAAGCGGUACGCGAGCUGGGUUCAGAACGUCGUGAGACAGUUCGGUCCCUAUCCGUCGUGGGCGUAGGAAAUUUGAGAGGAGCUGUCCUUAGUACGAGAGGACCGGGAUGGACAUACCUCUGGUGUACCAGUUGUCGUGCCAACGGCAUAGCUGGGUAGCUAUGUGUGGACGGGAUAAGUGCUGAAAGCAUCUAAGCAUGAAGCCCCCCUCAAGAUGAGAUUUCCCAACUUCGGUUAUAAGAUCCCUCAAAGAUGAUGAGGUUAAUAGGUUCGAGGUGGAAGCAUGGUGACAUGUGGAGCUGACGAAUACUAAUCGAUCGAAGACUUAAUCAA